CCCUUCGUCGCCGCGGCUCUCGUCCGGGACACGGCUUUCCGGAGUAGAGCCCUUGGAGGUGUUAAGUGUGAUGCUUCCAUAAUACAUUUGGAUGCUGUCAGCUAAGUUCACUUCUGAACUAAGGGGUUCCUCCAAAUGUUGGCUGAAAUUCAUCCCAAGGCUGGUCUGCAAAGUCUGCAAUUCAUAAUGGAGCUACUGUACUGGCUAUUGGAAGGAGGAGAUUCUGAAGAUAAGGAGGUAAAACCUGUUUAGAAAUUAAAAAUGAGUUACGAUUUAAAGAAAAUUCAGAUGACUCAUUGUGAGUGCUAGUUCUCUUGUAGGAUGCCACUGGAAAUGUUGAAAUGAAAAAUAUUCAGCCGUUGGUCUUUGAAAUUUCCUGUGAUGUGUUUCAAUCUAGAUGCAAAGAACAUGGAAAAAUCAAAGUGCUCGAGUGGUUUAAAUAUGUUUUGGGUAUUCCUGUUUAUAGACUAUAAUACUUUUCCAAUUAAAAUCCUCAGUUGUCACGCAGAAGAAGGUUAAGCUGUAUUUGAUUGCCAGUUUUACUGAAAAUGCUUAGUAUUUUACAGUAUCACCAAAUAUAUUUUGUUUAGCCAAGGUAUAGGAAAAAUAAAAUAAAUUGUAUAGGUUGACUUUUUUCUAAAAUGUCUUUAUUGGAUUGAAUGAAUGUUUAUACCUGAAAAAAAAAGGUUCAAAAAA
rnacentral:lncRNA from 1 species